rnacentral:rRNA from 1 species
GUUGGUGGUUAUUGUGUCGGGGGUACGACCGUUCCAUUUCCGAACCCGGAGGCUAAGCCCCAUUGCGCUGACGAACCCGGAAGCUAAGCCCGAUUGCGCUGAUGGUACUGCACCUGGGAGGGUGUGGGAGAGUAGGUCGCCGCCAACC